GAUAGUUUUGGUGCUCCACAUAUCCCUACUCUGACCUGCAGGAAGUGGAUUCCAUGCAACUGAUGUGAUUAUGCCGACUAGGGCGGUGUUGAAAUUGGUGCUACCGGAGGCUAACCUGAUCGGCUAAAAACUGCAUUUCACCAAAAGUCACCAGAAACUCUGGCAUUAAAAGAUGGCCUAUCUAAGGGGAAAUCAGUUAAUUCUGCCUCCAGGACAAGACUGAUGACAAUGAACGACAACAGGCGCAAAAUUCUGCUGCCAAAACCUUUUUCAGAUGGCUCUAGUCUACCGAGUGGCGCAGCAGUCUACCGAGUGGCGCAGCGGUCUCCCGAGUGGGCACACAUCUCAGUGCAAGAGGCGUCACUACAGUCCCUGGUUCGAAUCCAGGCUGUAUCACAUCCGGCCGUGAUUGGGAGUCCCAUAGGGCGGCGCACAAUUGGCCCAGCGUCAUCCGGGGUAGGCC